CAUUAUGGUGGCCAUGCACAGGGCGUCUUCGGGCGCGCCGGUUUCCUCAUAUCCCGGUCUACCAACCUGCGUAUGGCCACCACCCCU
rnacentral:antisense_RNA from 2 species